UCCCCGUUACCGGGGCAGUCUAGCUAGAGAAAUUCAACUAACUAUAAGGGUUGCGCUCGUUAAUGGACUUAACCAAACAUCUCACGACACGAGCUGACGACGGCCAUGCAACACCUGUCACUGCGGCCCGAAGGCACUAUCUCCUUUCGGAGUUAUUAGCAGGAUGUCAAACCUUGGUAAGGUUCUACGCUUAUCGUCGAAUUAAACAACACGCUCCACCGCUUGUGCGGGUCCCCGUCAAUUCCUUUAUGUUUUAGUCUUGCGACCGUACUCCACAGGCGGGAUGCUUAACGCGUUAGCUUCGCUACUAGAAGGGUCGAUACUUCUAACAGCUAGCAUCCAUCGUUUACAGCGUGGACUA
rnacentral:misc_RNA from 1 species